CUGGAUCAGCACACAGGGACUCGGAAUCUAAGGAAGCCAGGCUAUAUCUUGAGCUGACCUUGGUCUGUCUGCCUGUCAGCACAGCCGACGUCACCUAUAAUCCCAUCAUGGCAGUCACCUGAGCUACUGAAAAUCUUCAUCACAAGUCUUCUACUGCCUAUAUCCACAAUUUCCAUCUAAGGGCGAUAGCCACUUAUUGAGUUCUUCAAAUCCCCAAGGACCACGGAGACCAUGAGAAAUAAUCUUAAACUUUCA
rnacentral:lncRNA from 1 species